CAGACGUCGCGAGCGCACGAACCCCAACCGUCCGAUCCGUCUCGAUACUCGUCGUUCACCUCCCACACCUUAUCCAUUCAUCCAACCUCACACGCGCCGUCCCACCGGGCGACGCGCCCCUCCGCUGCGCUCCUCCUCCCAUUGACGCGCGCCACGCCAAGCACACCCCCGGUCGCCUCCUCUUCUUGCCCACUCCCGGCGACGAGCGCCGCGCCCAGCAUGCGCCCAGCCGUCCCCUCCUCCUGCUUCCUCCUGGUGAUGCACGCGGCGCCCGGCAGGGCCUGCUCCCCCGGUCCCCUGCGCCGUUGGUCGCCAGCUCAAUCUACCUCCCUCCGGCGUGGGCUUUCCCCGUAGGUUGUGUUGUGCGAGCUCUGCGCAUUAGGUCGGCCAUCUCUCUCUUGAUUUCGCAAGGUCUACCAUCUCCCUCUCUUGAUUUCGUAGUUCAACUUGAUUGUUGACCAAGCCAAUUGCCCAGGACCACCAAAAACAGGAGCAGACGCCGCCGGCAGCAAGACACACACACACACAGCUGGCCUUCAAGGCGCCGCAGCUUGCAGUAUGCUGCACCAAAUUCAGCUGAGUGCCCGUAAGCAUGCAGCAUUUGCCCCCACCACCCCGUCCCCUUCGACCCAGACUUGGUGUUUCUGCCACCCGUAGUGACGGCUGUUUCUUCUAUUGCUCCAACCAACCACGAGUUGCUCGCUUCAUAGGAAACGUUACUCCUCAUAAUCCAUCACUUCAAAAUCCUAAUUAGGCAACUUUCUCUUCAUUUCAGUUGACACAUAGUUUCUCUUUCAUUCUGAACACUCCCCGUGCAUCUCCUAAUGAGCCUCUGUUUUUUAACAUCCUAGUUGUUACUGUACAAAACUAAUGCCUACUAUCAUGGAACUACUUGUGAAUAGUUGCUCCAGUUUUUAACAUGGUUGCCUAGAAUUAAAGGCAAAGUUGCUUUAAUUUUUAUGGAAUUGAUAAGUGCUUCUUCUAGUUAUCUUCAUUCUACCAUUUUUUUGUGUCAUUCACGAACUGAUUCUUACUGUCAGGGAGAUGUUUGCAACUAGUUGCUCCUGUUUUUAUCACGAGUUGCCUACAAUUACAGUUAGAGUUGCUUCAGUUACAGUUAGAAUUGUAGGCAUUCUAUCUGUAUAUUUUCAAUGAUCGAUCUGUGACGUGCUCAUUCGAAUGGAAGCUAUCUCUUGGCCAAUCGGGCGAUUAAUUUGUGUGGCAGUAUCGUCGAAUGAUUUUUUGGCCCUGCUAUUCUUGGUUGCAUAUGUUAGUUAAGAAUUUCCUUUGGAUCCUGUACAUAGCCACAUGGUCUUCCAUUUAUUUUUGCCUGUAGUCGUCGUCUGGUUGAUGAAUAUGUAGAACAACGUGUGAUUUUGGAAAAAUUAUCACACAACAAAAACACACAGUAAAAGAUACCAUACUUGCCGUACAUAGUCUGCAUCCUUUGUUUAUGCACAAUACAUGAAAGAUGAUAUAGUUGCCUAUAAUUAAUCAUACGGUUGCCUAAAACCAUGUAUCUCAUUGCCCAAUCUCAUGAACAGAAACAUUACCAAGACCACGAUUUGGCCAACAUCUAAUGGUUUUAGAUACCUUUCAAUUAAGUUUGUGUCAUAGUGGUGUGUCAAGAAUUUCUUCUCUUCGGGUGGGAUCCCUUGGUAUGAUCAUAAACACUUGCCGAAUGAUCAUAGAGGGUGGCGGGGUGGAGUUGGUAAUGGGGACAUAACUAAAACCAUGAAGUUUUUUAUGAGAUUAAGUUUAUCUGUGAACCCCUAAAAAGCAAAUAUGUGUGUGUUCUUUAUCCCUUUUUCGGGUGUCAUGGUUGCGCACAUUCAACUAUACAGUUUCCUAGAACCAUGUAUCCAGUUGCCCAAUCCUCAUGAACAGAAACAUUAUCAAGACCAUAAUUUGGCUUAUAUGUAAAGGUUUUAGAUACCUUUCAAUUAAAAUUGUGGCAUAGAGAUGCAUCAAGAAUUUCAUCUCCUCAGGUUGGAUCCCUUGGUAUGAUCAUAAAUACUAGGCGAAUGAUCAUAGAGGGGGGGGCAGCGUGGAGCUGGUCAUGGGGACAUAACUAAAACCACGCAGUGUUUUUAGGGGAUUAACUUUAUUUGUAACCCCCUCCAAAACUGAACAUGUGUAUGUUCUUUAUCCCUUUUCUAGGUGUCAUAGUUUCCUACAAUCAACCAUAAUGUUGCACAAAAUCAUGUAUUCAGUUGCCCACAAUCAACCAUACAGUUGUCUAAAAUCAUGUAUCCAGUUGCCCACAAUCAACCAUAUAGUUGUCUAAAACCAUGUAUCCAGUUACCCAAUCCUUAUGAACAAAACAAUUAUCAAGACCAUAAUUUGGCUAAUAUGAAAAGGUUUUAGAUACCUUUUCAAGUUUGUGCCAUGGAGACGCGUCAAGAAUUUAUCUCCUCAGGGUGGGAUCCCUUGGUAUGAUCGUAAAUACUUGGCGAAUGAUCAUAAAGGGGAAGCAGGGUGGAGUUGGUCAUGGAACUAAAACCGCGAACUAUUUUUAGAGGAUUAAAUUUAUCUGUGAACCCUCCAAAAAUGAAUAUUUGUAUGUUCUUUUACCCCUUUUCAGUCAUAGUUGCCCACAAUCAAUAAUACAGUUGCCUAAAGCCAAGUAUCUAGUUGCCCACAAUCAAUAAAUAGUUUUCCUAAAACCAUGUAUCCAGUUGCCCAAUCCUCAUGAACAGAAACAUCACCAAGACCAUUAUUUGGUAAAUAUCUAAAGGUUUUGCAUACCUGUAAUUAUGUUUGGGUCAUAGAGGUAGAGUCAAGAUUUUAGAGGUGUAGCUAGUCAAUUGGUGUCAUGGUACCAACUUACAAGGAUCAUCCGCUGAUAGGUAGUCAUACUACGAAAAAAAAUGAGUUGCUUUCCUGUAACACUAAAGUUGCCUCUAUAGCACACAAAGUUGCUCGGAAAAAAAGUUUGUCGAAACCUACUCAUAUGGGAUCUAGUUUUGAAGAACUCGUCGCGAGAAACCCAACGGUGAAAACGGAUCUGAAUUUCGACACCCGAAUCAAAAGUUACAACUUUUUAAAGUUUUUGAUCCCAUAAUAAAUGCAGGUGGGAUAUAUAACGUUGAGCACAGGGGACAUGACGUUUUCCUUUUCUAGGUCUUCCUGCGGGAUGCGUGGGUGCUCUUUCCUAUUAUGGGAGAGCGCUCGCUCCCCCGACUGGGCGCUUGGGCGCCGCCUAGUCGCGUCCUUGUUUAUUUGUUCGAAAACUGCCGUUGUGGGUAGCGGAUGUUUUGGUUAUCUGCUUGAUUGUUCAAUCCUCGAAGUGACGCGAGCACGCAUGAAUCGGAAGGCUAGCAUUAUUUCAUUUUCAAAUCACGAUGAGCUUUUCCGGACAUUUUUUGUUGGUGGAUAUGUGACAAUUUGUUGGUGGAUCUGUGACAACCCUGUCCUGGCAUCUGGGAGUAUAUGGUUUUUUUUGGGGGUAAAACUACAUGCGGGGAACAGAGCACAGUUGCUUAAAAUGUGAAGUCUCGGAUCUUCUACUGCAAGCGCAUAACCUUCAUUUCUUCAAAAGAACAAUUCCUAAAGUAUCGGUAGCUGGUGGAUAGGAAUUGGACAUUGUGCGUCUGACACUUGAUGAAAUCCCUACACUACUCUACUAGUAUGUAUUAUAAAACAUUUACAUCACAAUAUCUGGUUAUAUAUAUCAUUUAAGCACUGUUUUGUUACUUGAGUUAAUGCUUACCAUCUACACCUUAAAUAGUGUUUGCAAGCAGGAAAGCAGUAUUAUAGUUAUUCAUGUUGUGCUGGAUGCUGGUGACGAUGCAUAUUCGCUGCCCGUGUGACUGAUUUACCUGUAGAAGUAGUACUAAGUAGUACUGUUGACUGAUACAUAUUCGCUGCUCCUUAACUGUUUGAUUGAUUUUCUAAACUUGUAAAAGCUUUAUAUAUAAGUCUGUUAAUUGACUAUGUGUUGAUUGAUUUACAUGAAGAAGUUAUCGUGCCUUUUACCUGAUGUGCGGUUGUACCUGUACCAAAUGGAAUUGAUGCUCUUACAAGUUACAAUCUGAUGAACCUACGUUUUAAAAAAAUGAACCUAUGUUUGGUCAUGGUUGCAUAUUUCCUACCCAGUACUAUGUGAUUGAUUUUCUAAACCUAUACAAGCUUUAUUUAUAUCUGUGACUACUGGUUGAUUUACAUGAACAUUAUGUACGCCUUUACCUGAUGAACCUGUACUGCUGCUUUACUGCUUACCUGUCCUGCUGCUUUAAUGUAAAUUGUUUCUCUUGUAAUAUGGUGGAACCUACAUUUACUCUGUUUUUCUGAAUAACUAGAGUGAUGUUAAUGAAUUUAAUUUUAAUUACCGUAGUUAUUGUCAUUAUGUCAAAAGUAAAGAUCACCAAGAUAAAGAGAAUCAAAUGUUCAAUUAGCAAUUUCCUUUUGUGGGUAGCGGAUGUUUUGGUUAUCUGUUUGAUUGUUCAGUCCUGGAAGUGACGCGAGCACGCAUGAAUCGGAAGGCCAGCAUUAUUUUAUUCUCAAAUCAGGAUGAGCUUUUCUUUGCACAUUUGGCGCCCUAUAAUUUGUUGGUGGAUAUGUGACAAUCCCGUACUGCCAUCUGGGAGUAUAUGGUUUUUUGUCCGGGUAAAACUACAUGCGAGAAACAUAGCACAGUUGCUUAAAAUGUGAAGGCUCGGAUCUUCUACUGCAAGCGCAUAACCUUCAUUUCUUCAAAAGAAUGAUUCCUAAUAUAUCGGUGGCUGGUGGACAGGAAUUGGACAUUGUGCAUCUAACACUUGAUGAAAUCCCUACACUACUCUAUGUAUUAUUAAACAUUUACAUCACAUAUCUAGUUACAUGCAUCAUUUGUUACUUCAGUUAAUGCUUACCAUCUUGCGUGGCUGGCAAUUCAAAAUAGAAUCUGGACGGCAGACUGGUUGGCUAGAAGGGGAUGGCCAAACUGUGGCAAUUGCCCGCUCUGUAUGAGGGAACCGGAAAUCGUGGAGCACCUUUUCUUCCGCUGUCGUUUCUCCCUCAGGCUUUGGGCAUGGUGAGAGACUGGCUACAUCUUGUGAGCUUGGAUAUGUCCCUCUGGGCUACUUACAGAAACAUCAAGGAUUGGUGGUAUGACAUGGUUUCCAUCCAAAGGAUCCAUGGAAGGGCAAUGGCUUCGCUCACUAUGCUAGUAUGUAAGACGAUCUGGGACGAGAGGAAUGCAAGGGUCUUUCGCAGCAAGUCGCCCCCCCCCCCAACUAUUCUUCUUCGAACCAUCAAGGGAGCGGCGGGGCUUUGGGCGACCGCGGGAGCAAAGAUUUUGGGGCACAUCCUACCGGGAGAGUAGUGUUUUUCCUGUUUUUGCUCUCCCCUUUGGGGGGCUUUUUUCUUUCUCUGAAAACAUUGUCAGACUUCUUCCUCUCUUAAUUAAUGAAAAGGGGCAAAACAUUUGCCCCAUGUUUAAAAAAAAGUGUUUUGUGAGCAGGAAAGCAGUAUUACGUUAUCCAUGUUGUGUUGGAUGCUGGUGACUCAUGCAUAUUCGCACCACCUGUGACUGGUUUACCUGUAGAAGCUUUAUAGAACUGUUGACUGAUACAUAUUUGCUGAUCCUUAAACUGUGUGAUUGAUUUUCUAAACUUGUAAGUCUGUUAAUUGACUAUGUACUGAUUGAUUUUACCUGCAGAGUGCUGCUGCUUACUGUUUACCUGCACAGUGCUGCUGCUUCAGUGUACCUGUACCAACUGGAAUUGUUGCUCUUACAAUCUGAUGAACCUAUGUUUAGUCAUGGUUGAAUAUUCUGUGUGAUUGAUUUUCUAAACCUAUAGGACCUUUAUUUAUAUCUGUGACUACUGGGUUUUUUCGAUAACUUAUCUGUGACUACUGGUUGAUUUACAUUUAGAACCUUAUGUGCGCCUUUACCUGAUGAAACUGUCCUGCUGCUUUACUGUUUACCUGUACUGCACUGCUUUAGUGCUUACAUGUCCUGCUGUUUUAAUGUAAAUUGUUUCUCUUGUAAUAUGAUGGAACCUACAUUUACUCUGUUUUUUCUGAAUAACUAGAGUGAUGUUAAUGAAUUUAAAUUUUAAUUACUAUAGUUAUUGUCAUUAUGGAAACUUUGUUCAUUCAAAAGUAAAGAGCACCAAGAUAAAUAGAAUCAAAUGUUCAAUUAGCAAUUUCCUUUUGCAAAAACAUGCUCAUGGAUGCAACGGUCUGAUAUUGCUUUGUCUUUGCAGGCCAUGGCCGUACCGUUUGGAGGAGGAGCAGUGGCUGCUGCAGCUGUCGUGGCUGGCGGGGGAGAACCUUGGUACUGCCCAAAGUGUCGCCAUUACCUGAGAGGCAAUAAAGCAGAGCAUGAAAAGAAACAUGAGUACGAUAAAAAGAAGAAAGAAGAAUUCGUCCGCAAGACUAAGGAGGAGAACAUCAAGAAGAGUGGGAAAGCUGGUGGAAACAAGGGAUGUAACAAGGGCUCCAACUAUGGGAAGCUCAGCAAAAUUUGCAAGUAAAGCUACAUCAAAAAAGGCAUGCCUAAGUUAGCAGAGCCACAAGCGGCUGAAUAUGGAUAACAAGUUUCAGAGCUAUGUUUUGAUCAGUCGACAGUAAUACCCCAAUGUUAUUGCUGUAAUAGGCUAGUUUCGCUUUCUAGCAACUUAGCAACCGAAAUUUUGAUGUGCGUGCAUAGAUCUAGAUACAUGGAAACAUAUGCCGCGAUCUAGAUACAUAGAGGUUUAUGUUGGAAAUCUGAGCAAUUUACCGAAUGAUUUUAUUAACAGAAAUACUAGAUAAAGCA